rnacentral:lncRNA from 1 species
AUGGGAAAUAAAGCACCAAGUAAACAAGAAAAAACGAAUUUGGUGAUGCACAGUUUAUAUACAAAUCCUGUGUCUGGAUUCUUCCCAGACUUUGGGAAAAAUUAGUUAAUAUAAAAAAAAACAUAUGUGUUAUUAAGUAGUACCUUAGGCACUAUCAUACUACACUUGUUAGAACGCACAUGGUUGUUGGCAUGCAGUGAAGCAAAGAAAGCAAUACGCUGUGGACUUCAGCAGUGGUAUCUCUGGAACAGCACAAGGCUAAGUUGCAAGCACUGGCACUGAUGCAGCUGGUCUUCAGUUUUCAGUUUAUUCAGUAUGCCUUUCCUCUGGAAUAUUAAAUACAUUAAGUAUUUUGUCUGAUGCAGUACUGGACUCCUCUUAGGCCAAUAAUAAGCUGGAAACAUUCUGAGUUAAAUCAGGUCCCAUCUCACCUAUCUUCCCCAUUGCAUAAGCAUUUUUUCCUGUGUCCCCCACCUGAAGUUGAUCAACCCUUGAUGUUCCAGCACAUUAGAUAGAAGGCUCAAGUAAUUUAAUAGCAUGACCUGAAAAUUAAAGCUUGAAGGCAAAGCAUUUUUCAUCCAGCCAUUAGCUAAGGAUGGAAUUUAUUCACCUCAUCUCUCCUGCAUAUAUUUAACUCCUUUGUUAACAUCACCAGCUAGAACUGCUGCUAUGGGAAGAUACCAUCAGCAGUCCCUAGACCACAGGGUCUUGAGUUAUGUUUUACAAAAACAUCUGACAGCUCCAGCAACACCACUCAUCUCUUGGCUGCCCACAAGCAGUGAGGACAGAGCUGGGGUACAGCACAGGGCUGGGGGCCUCCAGUACCACACAUGGCUACCAGUGCCCUGCCACUCACACUGUUUUGGCCUUCAACAGCCCCUGGUGCUGCAGCCCCAUCAGGCUUUGGAGCUCUUUCAACUGGCUUUUUUACAGCAGCAUUCAGUAUGUUGGUCUGCUGUGUAAGGCUAGUUCCCAUACUAUCUACUUGCUGUAGAUUGAAGCUGAAGCACAACGCUCAAAUCCAGAGUCCUUCAGUCCUUCAUCCUGGGCUCCUGACAGAAGUUUCACAAUGCUUAACUCUAACUAUCACCCUGCUUUCUAAUGAUCUUCCUACUAAUCACCCUUCUGGAAAUUUCAAAUUGAACUUGACCACCUGAGCUACUGUAUUCCUCAUCUCUGAAGAUACACUGCAUAACUUGAUACUCGGAGUGACAAAUUUACUUUCUCCCUGUGAAACAUUGAGGGAAAAAUCUGAAAAGUGCAAAACGCUGACAUCUUUUGAUAACUUGCUCUGGCCUUUUAUUAUUUACUCUAUAUUAAACAGUGUAGUAUUUAUACUACCAACUUUUUCAUUAGAAUAGCAGUUAUAAUUACUCUGGGUUUUACAACUGUUAUCUGCAAGUUCUCAUGAUAAACAUUAUCAAGGCCAUAUCCCUUUACUUGACAAAAAGAAGCUCCCUUCCUGUUAAUUUAUUUACUUGGGGUUUGGAAGAACUUGAACAGCAGAGUAAGCACUGUAAGCAAAUAAGUUAUUAAAAGCAUAUUAGGAAUGAUUUAGAAUGGUUCCACAAACUGGAACCUGUAAUGGGAAAGAUUAGAGGAUGACCCCUAUGAAGAACAGUGCAGAGCAAGGAAGAGUGGAGAUAUCCCAAGAUAUUUCUGUUAGUACAUCCCAGAGCACACACAUCCCCUGGCACCUCAGAGCAAUGCUACAGGACUGGUGCCAAGACUGCUCAUUUAUUAAUUUAUUCUACCUGCAAAAGGACAUGAAGAAUCUGACACUUUGGGGUUAGUGAUUUAUUUAAAUUCUUCCUUACUUCUAUCUUCAUUUUAUUUUGUUUCCUCUUAACAUUACUUUUGAAUGAGAUCAAAAUAUGCUUAAUCAUUAAAAAGUACCUGACACUUUCUGUAAAAGCAGUAAUAUUUGCUUUUGUUGUAGCUUCUGCUGUAGAAAGAGUAGAGUUAGAAGCAAUAAAUAUUGAAGCUCAAGGAGAAAGGCUGGGGAU